GUUUUUAAUUAAACAAUUAAUUAUCUUUUUGAAAGUAUUCUUAUGCUUCUUCUGAUUAAAAGCAGUUUGUGGAAUCAAGGUUCAAGACUGAUUUUUCAACACUUUCUCAGGACACAUUAGGCAACAUGAGGUAAACACAAGUUCAACUAAACUACAAACUGACAGCCAGCAAUCUUAACAAGCUACACCACACAUUGAAUGAUCUCAACUACUGUUAUAUGCAAUGGCCUUUCUGUCUUCAUGUGUGGAGGAUUUCACUGAAUCAAGAAUUCAAGUGGGGGAGGAAGAUUUUCAAGAUGCACUGCUUGAGGAGAUUAACAUCAAUUCUGCAAGGAUUUUCUGAACAGUGAAACAUCAUCAACCAAUGGUGCAAGAUUCUACGACAAGCUGGAGGAGACUGACAAUGCAGCAA